UAAAUAUCAACAUGAACAUGGGCCAUGAGGGUGAUAUGGAAUGAAGGGGGUGUACUGAAAACAAAGAAACAGAUUGGGCAAAAAGCUUCUUGGACAACAAGCCUAAUUCAGCAUUCUUUUCAGCUCUUGUUUGGACCCGGUUACAAAAUUCCAACGCCAUCUAUGUCUCAAGAACCAAGAUUGAAACUUUCACAUUUUAUUUCAAGCAUCACCGAGUUAACGCACUCAACACAUCUAAUCUCAAAACAACGACGCCAAGAUCUUCAUCGCCUUUAAUGGUGACGCGUACUCUCCAAAACCAAACUUCGAAACUGAAUCCAACCGAUUUGAAGUUCGAUCCAUUUCAUUCUUCAUGCGUGCGUGGAAUUAAAGAAGACGGAAUUGGUAUGAAGAAAAGGAGCUUACUGAUUCGGCGUCUCGACACGAAGAUCCUAGGUUCUGAUAUUCACCACCGAGCGUUGUGUUGUUCUGUUCAUUAUUGUCGUAUGCGAAUCGUGGUUGUGAUGAUGCGUGUUGUUGUUUAAAUGAGAUGAGGAUGAUGAAUCAUCGAUUUCUUGAUUGAAUCACGAUGAUGAUAGUUGAAUGCAGACGGUGAAUCCUCGACGAAGGUAACGUUCCACACUUUUCUUGAUCUCUUUCCGGUUCCGUGUCGGUUCGUGUUGUGAAUCGAAGAUUGGGGAGGGUUAUCAAAGGUGCGAGGUAUUCUCCUAUGGAAAUUAGAAAGGGUGUUGCAGGUUAUGGAAGUUGGAAAUUCGGUGGAAGGUUUGAGGGUGUUACGGUUGUACGGUGAUGGCUUCGGUUAGAGGUUGAGGCUUUAUGAAUGAUCCUCUCCCUUUGCCGCUGUGAAUGGUGGUCCAGGUUAAUGGCCUUGUUGGAGCUUUGAUGCAAGGAUUAUUAGGAAUUUUGCUCAUGGAUGCUUAGCAGUAACAAAUCUUUUUAAGUCAAAUCCCCAUCUACCACUAUGACUUUUGUUUUUGUUAGCAUACAAAAUCGCUUUAUCUUUUGGGUUUUGCUGGGACCUCCUAUCCACUGAAAAAUUUGUAUGCAAGUUAUCAUACGAAGAAGAUGCUGAUGUGUUAGAUGAACUUCCAUAGUGGCCGUGCCAAUUGGAUCCCGCUUCACCAAAUAGGUAAUCUGAAAAAUCAACAGUACUAGCUGAGUCUUUGGUACUUGCAGUACUGCAAGAACUUGCAUCAGAAGAGCUGAAUAGUGAGCUUUCGCUGGAAGAAUCCACCAUGGUAUUCCUUCUGUGGUAGUUGAAUCUCCACUCUUAUGGAUAUGCAGGUUCCUUGCUAAAGGAAUCAUCAACAGUGUUCCCAUGAGAAUGCUUGCCAUGCUUCUACUGGAGGGAGGGAGAAUCAGCACUUGUAGCCAUGGAAUUUGAUCGUGUCUUAGAAACAGCCGGAAUGGCUUCCAAGUUUCUCCUCUUAAACUUUCCAGUGGAAAAGACUGCAUUGCUACUUACUGAACCCAGGGGCUUCAGAGAGUGCAUUGCAUAAAGAAGCAUGUAUGAUCUUUUUGACAAGACUCUUGACAAUUCAAUAGGUUCUACCCUGCUGUCAUCAGUCCUGAACCAUUCUCGUCAGAUGUUCUUCCCAUAACAAACAUAAUGGCCUGAAUAUGCAGCAUUCAUGCUAUCCAAAUGGGCAACCACUGCAUAAAGACUGUAUAAUGGAGAUUUGUCUUUUAAUCCACUGAUAUAUGGAGCCAUAUUCAGGACUUCAGGAAAUUGAACAGACUUAUUCAACUUCUCAAAGUUACCGGACUGAAAUCGUUUUAAUACAAUUGUAAGAAUAUUCGGCGCCUCCAAUACUGUUAGCUUCUUUUAGUUGUAAAUUUGUACUUUGGAGUUGCAAAUGAAAUGUUUAAUUUGAAUUAUGGCUUUGAAAUUGUAAUGGGAACGUUUGAAAUGUAUGAUGGAGUAAAUUAUGAAUGGUUUUGGAAUUUUGGAAA